AUGUUCCAGGAAUUAGGUGCAAUGAAUGUGAAGUUCGAUAUUAUAACACUCAAUACCAUGAUUAAUGCCAUGUACAAGGUUCAGAGAAGAGAAGAAGCUAAAGGUUUGUUUGCUGCAAUAUCAGCCAGUGGGUUGGUGCCUGAUGCUUAUACUUACAACGUAAUGAUAAACAAUCUUCUAAAAGAAGGAUCAGUGGAAGAAGUUGACAAUAUGUUUUCAUUGAUGGAGAAGAGUGGUUGUGCUCCCAGCUCUCAUCUUGUAAAUGAUAUCAUCAGAAGGUUGUUGGGAAAAGGAAAAACGGGUUCUUGA
rnacentral:rRNA from 1 species